rnacentral:lncRNA from 1 species
GCAAACUAAACAACAAUGAAACAGAACAGAGUGAAUCUGCUGUAGCUCAAGAGAGGACGUAGCUGCCCCCACUCCGCAUCCCCGGGCUCGGGUUUGCCUUGCUGACCUCUGCUGCCACCUGGUGCUGCACAGAGAAACUGAGGAGAAACCACAUCAGUCUCCUUCAGCCUCAGCUUCACAUCUGUGGGUCAAGCAACCCUUUCAGAAGCUGUAUAAUGUGGGAAAGCUUUCCUCUCAGGAAAAUGCACACAUCCAACUUUGAGAAGAUGCCCUUGGGGGUGCUUCAAGGAUCCUAGAUAAUAACCCCCUUUCCCGAACAUCCAAGAACCUAAGUUUUUUUUUUUUUUUUGAGAAAGUCUCGCUCUCUCUCCCAUUCUGGAGUGCAGUGGCGUGAUCUUGGCUCACUGCAAGCUCCACCUCCCAGGUUCAAGCCAUUCUCCUGCCUCAGCCUCCCAAGUAGCUGGGGCUACAGGCACCUGCCACCACACCCGGCUAAUUUUUUUGUAUUUUUAGUAGAGACGGGGUUUCACCGUGUUAGCCAGAAUCGUCUUGAUCUCCUGACCUUGUGAUCCACCCGCCUCGGCCUCCCAAAGUGCUGGGAUUACAGGUGUGAGCCACCACGCCUGGUCCAAGAACCCAACUUUUAGAUCUAGAGUGAUGUCAGCAUGACAUUGAUUUCCUGAGGCCCAGGGGUGAAGGAGCUGAGGACAGCAGAGGGGUGAAGGAAGUCAGCUACAGACAGCAGCAGCUGAUGCACAGGCCUCCCAGUGCCUGAAGUCACCCGGAAUUGGGAAGUGCUCAGAAGCUUACAAAGCUGCCUCGAGGUGGGAACACAACAUUAAUCCAAGAGCAGAUCCCUGAUCCUAUAAAAAUGUACUAGAUGCAGUGGGGGCAUUUUAAAUGAGCAGGGAAGGACAGACAGAUAAACAGAAGGACAAACAGUAUUGGGAUUGGGAUAAAUGCUCAGCUUUUGCCCAAAUCUUAGUGACUUAAGCAUCACUUAUUUGCUCACGAUUCUGUGGCUGGACCAUUUGGUUUGGCUCACAGGGCAGGGACUGUGCUGGUCUUACCUGAGCAGACCUGCAUGUCUGCGGUCAACUGGGUUGGCAGAGACAGAGUGACUGUCUUCCUCCAGGAAGCAGCAGGUUAACUGGUUGGCAGAGACAGAGGGACUGAGGGACUGUCUCCCUCCAGGAAGCAGCAGGUUAACUGGUUGGCAGAGACAGAGGGACAGAGGGACUGUCUUCCUCCAGGAAGCAGCAGGUUAACUGGUUGGCAGAGACAGAGGGACAGAGGGACUGUCUUCCUCCAGGAAGCAGCAGGUUAACUGGUUGGCAGAGACAGAGGGACAGAGGGACUGUCUUCCUCCAGGAAGCAGCAGGUUAACUGGUUGGCAGAGACAGAGGGACUGAGGGACUGUCUUCCUCCAUGAAGCAGCAGGUUAACUGGUUGGCAGAGACAGAGGGACUGAGGGACUGUCUUCCUCCAGGAAGCAGCAGGUUAACUGGUUGGCAGAGACAGAGGGACUGAGGGACUGUCUUCCUCCAGGAAGCAGCAGGUUAACUGAUUGGCAGAGACAGAGGGACUGAGGGACUGUCUCCCCCCAGGAAGCAGCAGGUUGGCUCUGUUUCCUUCGUGGGGCAGCUGGUCUCCAGGGCAGCAAGAGAGACCAAGCCCCAGUGCACAUUCUACAGCCUCUGUGCACAUCAGACUUGUUAAUAUCCCAUUGGCCAGUGUAAGUCACUUGGCCAAGCCCAGAUUAAGGAGUGGAAAGAUGGAGGCUAUCUCCUCCUGGGAGAGGAGGCAAAGGAGGUGGGAGUAUUAUGUGGCCACUUAUGUUUGCAAUCUACCAUACUUAGCACUUUGAGAAAAGAAUUAACUGAGAAACUUGCUUCAAAUAGGGCCAGUAAAAUGAAGCCCCAAUUGAAGUAAAAUGCAUAUAUAAAAAAUGAAACUGUGACCGAUUUUAAGGACAGUAUUGGCAAAUAUUUCUGUGCUCUUGGAGGAGAAGACCCUUAUUGGCAUGACAUGUCAGAAACCACAAUGAAAGAAUUAUUUUAACUUGCAUUCAUAAAAAUUAAAAUUAUUCAUUAAAAACAUCGUGAAUGAAAUUAAAAGUCAAAAUGUAAGCCAGAAAAUUAUUUACAACGUAUGUGUCAGGAAAAGACAAUACCCUUCAAACUUUGAGAGUUUACAUCAGAAAGAAAACAGCAAAUGACAUGAUCCAAACUUGAUAAAGGACAUGAAAAAGAGCCAGCACUUAGUAUGUUUUCUGAAUGAAUAAGUAGCCAACAGCACAUGAAAAUGCGUGUAAUCCAUUUGUAAGCAGAGAAAUGCAAACUAAAACAGUAAAGUGUCAUUUUCACUUCCUGG